UAUAAUUUCCUGAAUGAGACGCACUUUCAAAAUCUACAGCCACCAUGACUCUACUGGUGCUGCUCGCUGUCUUCGUAGUCUUCAUUCAGGACUCAAGUUGUCAGAUUUCUGUGACUCAACCAUCAGCACCAAAGUCAGUUUCUCCUGGAGGGAGCGUCACCUUCAGCUGUACCACUGGAAGUAGCGUGGGUGGUGCCAUGGCCUGGUACCAGCAGAGACCUGGACAAACUCCUAAACUCCUGAUCUAUGAUACAAGCACUCGCUACAGUGGCACGCCGAGUCGCUUCAGUGGCAGCGGGUCAGGAACUUCAUACAGUUUGACUAUCAGUGGAGUCCAACCUGAAGACGCCGGUCACUACUUCUGUCAGCAGUAUAGCAGCUUACCACACAGUGAUUGA